AACAGCUUUCACGGGCCUCAAGAUUGUCACGUGGCAUGAAAGACACUCAUCUCAGGCCACACAGGAUUCCAUUCAUCGAACAUUCCUGAGACAACGGAAUUCUGGCGAUGGAGCACAGCAGGUCUGCUACUGCCUACUAAGGAACGGCUUCUCGACAUCCUCCUGUCAAACCCUGCAUGUUCAGGCCCAUCUUUAAAAUCCAUCCUAGGCCAGGUGCAGUGGCUCAUGCCUGUAAUCCCAGCACUUUGGGAGGCCGAGGCAGGCGGAUCACCUGAGGUCAGGAGUUCGAGACCAGCCUGGCCAACAUGGUGAAACUCUGUUUCUACUAAAAAUACAAAAAUUAGCCAGGCAUGGUGGCGUGUGCCUGUAGUCCCAGCUUCUUAGAAGGCUAGGCACGAGAAUUGCUUGAACCCAGGAGGCAGAGAUUUCAGGGAGCCGAGAUUGUGCCACGGUAAUCCAGCCUGGGCACCACAGUGAGACUGUCUCAAAAAAGUAAAUAAACAAGUAAAAAAUAAAA
rnacentral:lncRNA from 10 species